GCAUUAAAUGAGCAUGGUUUAUAUACAUUUGAACAACACAAAUAAAGCAGCAUUAACACUAGAUUGCAACACUAAAAGUGAACUCCAGGAAAGAGCCAAACCUAAACUUCUCAAUGUGAAUCUUUAAAAUUUAAUUAACAUGCAUUGAACAAACAGUAACCACAUUGGAGAGUUCUAACAGUAACAACAAUUCCCUUUUUUUCUCCAAGGGUCAACGGUUUGAACAGUCCAGCUCCAAGAAAACUUGGAACACCUUAAAUGUGUUUAAGUUUCUUUGAAUGUGCAAGAUUCACUGCAUACGCAAACAUAACCAGCAGACAGCAAGCCCUUGGAAAGUCCCUUGGUGCAGUCAGAACUUUUACUCCGUCCAACACGAUACCGACGUCUGGACUCUUCGACGUGUUCGACUUGUUCCUGUAGAUUGUCAUCUUUUGUAUUGCAAGGUCCUGUGAAACAGCGUCUUCACCAGCAUCCUGAAAUAGCAAGAAGAUUGAGUAGAGGAGUAUUACGUACUGUACAUCCAAAAGAUUAGGUCCCAAUUGAACAUCAACCAAAUUACUUCUACAUUCACAAAUAUCUUAUUCUACAUUCACUAACAGGCUGGUCAUAUGUCAACUGAUCUCUAUAUGAUAAUAUAAACUCAUUCCUGGAGCUCUUAAUCAUCCAAUCCAAUGCAACUAUGUUAAAAGGACUCUUGUCUGCUUUGUCAAUGGCUCUGAAUUCAGACAGCUGGUGUAAUCAGAUUGAAAUGGCGAGCAUUUAGUAACAGUCUCCAUUUCUGCAGUAGUAUUUUUAAAAAUCUGUCAUAGAAUACAAAAAUGUGCGCACAUACCCAGAGGACAAUAAAUAUUUAAUCUGAAUUAUUAUUAUUAAUGAAACUGUAAAACUCAGCGGCUUUUGCCACAACUUACUAGUAGAAAUAACGUUAUGAUUGUAUGUUGUGAUUUGACCAUUCCAAGACGUGACGGGUAGAAGAGAUGAGAGAGAUCACUUUCUUUAAAUGUCAACAUGUGCUUCAACUUACAUCACACUCUUUUAUGAGUUGAUCCAUCGUCUCUACAAGGUAGACCCUGAAUGACAGCAUCUCUGGUCGUAGUAACGCUCGAGAUGCUGGAUGUCUGAAAUGAACAUUAUGAGUUAAAAUUAUCCACUCCAAUCCUAAAUUCCACAAAUCCAGCUGUGACUCCGGGAAGUCUUCAUAAACUACCACAAAACCACAACAUUUUACAACUUGAUUUUUGUACGAUUAAGACAUACCACAUUAAUAGUGAGCUGAUAAUAAGGUAAUUCACAGUAAAACGUGAUUGUAACAUUCUAAAUUUGAAUAAUGAUGUACCUGAAAAAGUGUCACCUUUAUGGAAACUAAAAUGCAUGCAGUUAGAUGACACUUUCUUUGGAGAGUAAAUCCAACGUAAACAUUGCCUCUGGCAGAUGUAAGUGAUAUUCAUCCAUCCAUCUGUCAGGGAUGCGUGGGGGAGGCAGGACUCAAACGCAGACUUCUCCGGAAACAAAAUACUUCAAUAGUCGAAAAGGGAAAAUCAAAGGGCCAAGGGGCAAAAACACACAGGCAAGAAACUACGGACAUCCACGACAAUAGACAAUGACGCGACAAGUGACACAAGAGACACACGGCUUAAAUACACAAGGGAGGUGCAGGUGAUUGGACACAGGUGUAAACUAUUAGACGAUCACAGGGGAUGACAUGACAAGGCAGGAAGUGAAGUUACCCGGGGACACGAGUGGCAGAAAACUACAAAAUAUAACAGGAAGUGAACCACACUGUGACAGUAUGUGGCAUUUAAUUACUUACUCUUAAUACUCUUUUCAUAAUACUCUUUUCAUGUCUUUGUGAACGACUGCAAUUACUUCUCUUUUUGAACAGUGAUAAAUAACCUUUGUUAUUAUGCAAAAACUAAGGAAGACGUCUUUGUUAACUGACAAAAGUUUUAUA
ensembl:lncRNA